rnacentral:piRNA from 1 species
UCCUACAUUGGCUUCUCAGAGCUUGG